AAAGGACAAGCUGUGAUGGGGAGCGAAAUCUAGUAGCGAAGUUCCUGAUGUCACACUGCCAAGAAAAGCUUCUAGUGAGAAAGUAACUGCCCGUACCGCAAACCGACACAGGUAGUUGAGGAGAGAAUCCUAAGGUGUGCGAGAGAACUCUCGUUAAGGAACUCGGCAAAAUGACCCCGUAACUUCGGGAGAAGGGGUGCUGACCGCAAGGUCAGCCGCAGUGAAUAGGCCCAAGCGACUGUUUAUCAAAAACACAGGUCUCUGCAAAAUCGAAAGAUGACGUAUAGGGGCUGACGCCUGCCCGGUGCUGGAAGGUUAAGAGGAGAGGUUAGCGCAAGCGAAGCUUUGAAUUGAAGCCCCAGUAAACGGCGGCCGUAACGAUAACGGUCCUAAGGUAGCGAAAUUCCUUGUCGGGUAAGUUCCGACCCGCACGAAAGGCGUAACGAUUUGGGCACUGUCUCAACGAGAGACUCGGUGAAAUUAUAGUACCAGUGAAGAUGCUGGUUACCCGCGACAGGACGGAAAGACCCCAUGGAGCUUUACUGCAGUUUGAUAUUGCGUGUUUGUAUCACAUGUACAGGAUAGGUAGGAGCCGAAGAUGCCGGGACGCCAGUCUCGGAGGAGGCAACGGUGGGAUACUACCCUUGUGAUAUGACCACUCUAACCCGCUGCUCUUAGCGAGCAGGGAGACAGUGUCAGACGGGCAGUUUGACUGGGGCGGUCGCCUCCAAAAAUGUAACGGAGGCGCCCAAAGGUUCCCUCAGAAUGGUUGGAAAUCAUUCGUAGAGUGUAAAGGCAGAAGGGAGCUUGACUGCGAGACCUACAAGUCGAGCAGGGACGAAAGUCGGGCUUAGUGAUCCGGUGGUUCCGCAUGGAAGGGCCAUCGCUCAACGGAUAAAAGCUACCCUGGGGAUAACAGGCUUAUCUCCCCCAAGAGUUCACAUCGACGGGGAGGUUUGGCACCUCGAUGUCGGCUCAUCGCAUCCUGGGGCUGUAGUCGGUCCCAAGGGUUGGGCUGUUCGCCCAUUAAAGCGGUACGCGAGCUGGGUUCAGAACGUCGUGAGACAGUUCGGUCCCUAUCCGUCGCGGGCGUUGGAAAUUUGAGAGGAGCUGUCCUUAGUACGAGAGGACCGGGAUGGACACACCGCUGGUGUACCAGUUGUUCUGCCAAGAGCAUCGCUGGGUAGCUAUGUGUGGACGGGAUAAACGCUGAAAGCAUCUAAGCGUGAAGCCCCCCUCAAGAUGAGAUUUCCCAUCACUUUAAGUGAGUAAGACCCCUGAGAGAUGAUCAGGUAGAUAGGUUGGGAGUGGAAGUACAGCGAUGUAUGGAGCGGACCAAUACUAAUCGGUCGAGGACUUAACCG
rnacentral:rRNA from 1 species